rnacentral:rRNA from 1 species
GACGAACGCUGGCGGCGUGCUUAACACAUGCAAGUCGAACGGUAAGGCCCUUCGGGGUACACGAGCGGCGAACGGGUGAGUAACACGAGGGUGAUCUGCCCUGCACUUCGGGAUAAGCCUGGGAAACUGGGUCUAAUACCGGAUAGGACUCCUGGCUUCAUGGUUGGGGGUGGAAAGCUUUUGCGGUGUGGGAUGGGCCCGCGGCCUAUCAGCUUGUUGGUGGGGUAAUGGCCUACCAAGGCGACGACGGGUAGCCGGCCUGAGAGGGUGACCGGUCACACUGGGACUGAGAUACGGCCCAGACUCCUACGGGAGGCAGCAGUGGGGAAUAUUGCACAAUGGGCGCAAGCCUGAUGCAGCGACGCCGCGUGAGGGAUGACGGCCUUCGGGUUGUAAACCUCUUUCAGCUAUGACGAAGCGCAAGUGACGGUAGUAGCAGAAGAAGGACCGGCCAACUACGUGCCAGCCGCCGCAGUAA